rnacentral:rRNA from 1 species
GGGGGAUAUUGCACAAUGGGCGAAAGCCUGAUGCAGCGACGCCGCGUGAGGGAAGACGGUUUUCGGAUUGUAAACCUCUGUCUUCGGGGACGAAACAAGACGGUACCCGAGGAGGAAGCCACGGCUAACUACGUGCCAGCAGCCGCGGUAAUACGUAGGUGGCAAGCUGUGUCCGGAAUUACUGGGUGUAAAGGGAGUGUAGGCGGGGCUUCAAGUCCGUUGUGAAACCGAUCGGCUCAACUGAUCGUUGCGGCGGAAACUGGAGCUCUUGAGUGAGGUAGAGGCAGGCGGAAUUCCCAGUGUAGCGGUGAAAUGCGUAGAUAUUGGGAGGAACACCAGUGGCGAAGGCGGCCUGCUGGGCCUUAACUGACGCUGAGGCUCGAAAGUGUGGGGAGCAAAC